GCUCUUUUCAGUAGCACAUACUAAAAUUGGAACGAUACAGUGAAGAUUAGCAUGGCCCCUGUGCAAGGAUAACAGGCAAAUUCGUGAUGCAUUCCAUAUUCUC
ensembl:snRNA U6 U6 spliceosomal RNA